UUUCACUUGAGAGUUUGAUCCUGGCUCAGGACGAACGCUGGCGGCGUGCUUAACACAUGCAAGUCGAACGAUGAAGAAAAGAAUUGAAGCUUCGGCAGAAAUUCAUUUCGGAUUAGUGGCAGACGGGUGAGUAACGCGUGAGCAACCUACCUCUUACAAAGGGAUAGCCUCGGGAAACCGGGAUUAAUACCAUAUAACAUUGCGACGAAGCAUUUCGAUGCAAUCAAAGCUACGGCGGUAAGAGAUGGGCUCGCGUCCCAUUAACCAGAUGGUGAGGUAACGGCUCACCAUAGUAACGAUGGGUAACCGGCCUGAGAGGGUGAACGGUCACACUGGAACUGAGACACGGUCCAGACUCCUACGGGAGGCAGCAGUGGGGAAUAUUGCACAAUGGAGGGAACUCUGAUGCAGCGACGCCGCGUGAGUGAUGAAGGAAUUCGUUUCGUAAAACUCUGUUCUAUGGGAAGAAAAGGACUGUACCAUAGGAGAAAGCUCCGGCUAAAUACGUGCCAGCAGCCGCGGUAAUACGUAUGGAGCGAGCGUUGUCCGGAAUUAUUGGGCGUAAAGGGUGCGCAGGCGGCUUUACAAGUUGGAUGUGAAAUAUUGUGGCUCAACCACAAACGUGCAUCCAAAACUGCAAAGCUUGAGUUAAGGAGAGGUAAGUGGAAUUCCUGGUGUAGCGGUGGAAUGCGUAGAUAUCAGGAGGAAUACCGGUGGCGAAGGCGACUUACUGGACUUAAACUGACGCUCAGGCACGAAAGCGUGGGGAGCAAACAGGAUUAGAUACCCUGGUAGUCCACGCCGUAAACGAUGAGUGCUAGGUGUUGGGGGUCAAACCUCGGUGCCGCAAGCAAACGCAAUAAGCACUCCGCCUGGGGAGUACGUGCACAAGCAUGAAACUCAAAGGAAUUGACGGGGACCCGCACAAGCAGCGGAGCAUGUGGUUUAAUUCGUGGCUACGCGAAGAACCUUACCAGGGCUUGACAUAUAUAUGAGGGGACAUAGAGAUAUGAAACCAGUAAGAGCUUGCUCUUAACAUAUAUACAGGUGGUGCAUGGUUGUCGUCAGCUCGUGUCGUGAGAUGUUGGGUUAAGUCCCGCAACGAGCGCAACCCUUGCAAUUAGUUACUAACAGGUGAUGCUGAGGACUCUAAUUGGACUGCCGAUGAUAAAUCGGAGGAAGGUGGGGAUGACGUCAAAUCAUCAUGCCCUUUAUGUCCUGGGCUACACACGUGCUACAAUGGUCGGAACAAAGAGGAGCGAAAUGGUGACAUCAAGCAAAUCUCAAAAAACCGAUCCCAGUUCGGAUUGUACUCUGCAACUCGAGUACAUGAAGUCGGAGUUGCUAGUAAUCGCGGAUCAGAAUGCCGCGGUGAAUGCGUUCCCGGGUCUUGUACACACCGCCCGUCACACCAUGGAAGUUGGCAAUACCCGAAGCCGAUGGCCUAACCGCAAGGAAGGAGUCGUCGAAGGUAGGGUCAAUGACUGGGGUGAAGUCGUAACAAGGUAGCCGUAUCGGAAGGUGCGGCUGGAUCACCUCCUUUCUA
rnacentral:rRNA from 1 species